AUUGAACGCUGGCGGCAUGCCUUACACAUGCAAGUCGAACGGCAGCACGGGUGCUUGCACCUGCUGGCGAGUGGCGAACGGGUGAGUAAUACAUCGGAACAUGUCCUGUAGUGGGGGAUAGCCCGGCGAAAGCCGGAUUAAUACCGCAUACGAUCUACGGAUGAAAGCUGGGGACCUUCGGGCCUCGCGCUAUAGGGUUGGCCGAUAGCUGAUUAGCUAGUUGGUGGGGUAAAGGCCUACCAAGGCGACGAUCAGUAGCUGGUCUGAGAGGACGACCAGCCACACUGGGACUGAGACACGGCCCAGACUCCUACGGGAGGCAGCAGUGGGGAAUUUUGGACAAUGGGCGAAAGCCUGAUCCAGCAAUGCCGCGUGUGUGAAGAAGGCCUUCGGGUUGUAAAGCACUGUUGUCCGGAAAGAAAUCCUUGGCUCUAAUACAGUCGGGGGAUGACGGUACCGGAAGAAUAAGCACCGGCUAACUACGUG
rnacentral:rRNA from 1 species